AGAGCACUAAAAACAAGUAAAACAAGCAAACACAGAUUAACAUUAACAUCAUGAUUUAAAAUGAGAAAAUAUGAUUUCGUUAGUAUAAAAAUGGUAUGUAGGAAUUUCGGACGCGGGUUCAACUCCCGCCAGCUCCACCA
rnacentral:tmRNA from 1 species